CACUCUACUGCCUUGCAGCAGGUCAGGGCGGCAGUUAUGGGGGUUGUACCCACGACCGGCGAUGUGGAGGAGGAGCGAGGCAUCAUGGGCGUCGAGCCUAUGGAUGUUCCCGCGACUCUGGGAGAGGAGGGGUCUGAGGCCGACUAUGUGGACUGUGACCCAUGAUGAUUCUCGCUUGGAAUUGUAGGGGGGCGGCCAAGC
rnacentral:lncRNA from 1 species